rnacentral:rRNA from 1 species
CAGCACCUCAAGUGGUCAGGAUGAUUAUUGGGCCUAAAGCAUCCGUAGCCUGCUUUGUUAGUUUUCGGUUAAAUCCAUAUGCUCAACGUAUGGGCUGCCGGGAAUACUGCAAAGCUAGGGAGUGGGAGAGGUAGACGGUACUCGGUAGGAAGGGGUAAAAUCCUUUGAUCUAUUGAUGACCACCUGUGGCGAAGGCGGUCUACCAGAACACGUCCGACGGUGAGGGAUGAAAGCUGGGGGAGCAAACCGGAUUAGAGACCCGAGUAGUCU